AAGUUUCUCUGCAAACUGAGUUGCAGGAACUCUCUCCAAACCGUGAGGUGUCAAAAGGAGAAGAUGACACCUGUCCUACUCAUUAAAACUCAAAUUCAAGUGAACUCUGUUAACCCAAACGUUUAGGCACUCUCCCGUUAUAUUUUUUUUAUUAAAACCAUCAGUCCUUUCUCUCUCUCUCUCUCUCUCUCUCUCUCUCUCUCCUUCAAAGAAAAUCGGCUCCCAUCUCUGUUUUGUUCCAGACCCUUCUCCCUAUAUUCAAUCGUUUUCAGCCCCAAACUCCACCAACCAAUCUACCUCCACCGGUCCCCCCGAUUUGUCUCUUGUCUCCGACGAUCCCACCCAUCCACCACUCUCCACCAUUCCACCCAUCGAAUCCCUCAUUCUAUCGUUCCCAUCCCUCACCCACAAUGUCGCCGCUGAGAACUACCCCUCCAAACCCUUCUUUUUGUGGCAAUCCCUCCCUGUGUGAUGAAGAUGAUUAUUUUCGUGGUUAUAUUAGUGACGAAGAUAAAGACGAUUCUUUUUGCAGUUAUCCCCAUCACAAAGAUGAUUUCGUUCGCGGUAAUGACUAUGACGAAGAGAAAGGCGACUGCUUAACCUUUUUCGAGGGAAUGGGAUGACAAGGGUAAGCAGGAAAAUGAAAAGAAAACCAAGAACUGAAAAUGAACGAGAAGACAAAAGUUAUUUCAACUUUGCUGUGUGGAGUAUAUGGAAGAGCAAAAAUUCAUACGUCUUCAACAGGAAAAAUCCAAAUCCAAAUCUGCCUAUGGAGAUCCACAACCAAACAUUGGAGUUUAUGAAAUUGUGUGACUUCACCACGAAAUCCACGAGUUUAUGUAUGCCUUGCCUUAUUGUUGAGUUAGAAUAGGCGCUGAUUUGAUAGCUAGAAUAGGUGCUGACCAAGAACUAGAUUUCAUUUUGUUUACAAGUCCACCUGUGGACUUAGCUAAGGCUUUGGAGGAUUUCUGUAAUGGUGUAUUUUUUAACAAACUUUGUAUUGAACUGGAUGUAGCUUUUUAUUUUAAUGUUAUUGUCUUUUAACCAAAAAUAAAAAAAAAUUUCCUUUGGACUUUGUAUA